GAUGAACGCUGGCGGUCUGCUUAACACAUGCAAGUCGAACGGAAUCCUUAGGGAUUUAGUGGUGGACGGGUGAGUAACACGUAAGAACUUGCCUCUAGGAUGGGGACAACAGUUGGAAACGACUGCUAAACCCGGAUGAGCCGAAAGGUAAAAGAGUUAUCGACUAGAGAGGGGCUUGCGGUUGAUUAGGUAGUUGGUAGGGUAAAGGCUUACCAAGGCGACGAUAAGUAGCUGGUCUGAGAGGAUGAUCAGCCACACUGGUACUAAGACACGGCCCAGACUCCUACUGUAGGCAGCAGUGGGGAAUUGUCCGCAAUGGGCGAAAGCCUGACGGAGCAAGACCGCGUGGGGGAGGAAGGUUCUUGGAUUGUCAACCCCUUUUCUCAGGGAAGAACGCAAUAACGGUACCGGAGGAAAAAGCAUCGGCUAACUCCGUGCCAGCCGCCGCAGUAAAAC
rnacentral:rRNA from 1 species